UACAGAGGUCUCAAGCGUUGUUCGGAUUCAUUGGGCGUAAAGGGUGCGUAGGCGGCGCGGUAAGUCGGGUGUGAAAUCUCGGAGCUUAACUCCGAAACUGCAUUCGAUACUGCCGUGCUUGAGGACUGGAGAGGAGACUGGAAUUUACGGUGUAGCGGUGAAAUGCGUAGAUAUCGAUGAAGAAGACCAGUGGCGAAGGCG
rnacentral:rRNA from 1 species